AGAGUUUGAUCCUGGCUCAGGAUGAACGCUAGCGGCGGGCUUAAUACAUGCAAGUCAAGGGGUAGCAAUACACCGGCGUACGGGUGCGUAACGCGUAUGGAACCUGCCCUUAUCUGGGGGAUAACUCGGGGAAACUCGAGCUAAUACCGCAUAAGAUAGUAGAAUGGCAUCAUUCAGCUAUUAAAGAUUUAUUGGAUAAGGAUGGCCAUGCGUAAGAUUAGAUAGUUGGCGAGGUAACGGCUCACCAAGUCUACGAUCUUUAGGGGCUCUGAGAGGAGAAUCCCCCACACUGGCACUGAGAUACGGGCCAGACUCCUACGGGAGGCAGCAGUAGGGAAUAUUGGGCAAUGGGCGGAAGCCUGACCCAGCCACGCCGCGUGCAGGAAGACGGCCCUCUGGGUUGUAAACUGCUUUUAACUGGGAAGAAAAGAGGCCUUGCGAGGCAAGUUGACGGUACCAGUUGAAUAAGCCACGGCUAACUACGUGCCAGCAGCCGCGGUAAUACGUAGGUGGCGAGCGUUAUCCGGAUUUAUUGGGUUUAAAGGGAGCGUAGGCGGCUGAUUAAGUCAGCGGUGAAAGGUAGCAG
rnacentral:rRNA from 1 species